UACGAAGGGGGCUAGCGUUGCUCGGAAUCACUGGGCGUAAAGCGCACGUAGGCGGUUUUGUAAGUUAGAGGUGAAAGCCUGGGGCUCAACUCCAGAAUAGCCUUUAAGACUGCAUCACUUGAACACGGGAGAGGUGAGUGGAAUUCCGAGUGUAGAGGUGAAAUUCGUAGAUAUUCGGAAGAACACCAGUGGCGAAGGCGGCUCACUGGACCGUUGUUGACGCUGAGGUGCGAAAGCGUGGGGAGCAAACAGG
rnacentral:rRNA from 1 species